rnacentral:rRNA from 1 species
UGGGGAAUAUUGCACAAUGGGGGGAAACCCUGAUGCAGCGACGCCGCGUGAAGGAAGAAGUAUCUCGGUAUGUAAACUUCUAUCAGCAGGGAAGGAUAGUGACGGUACCUGACUAAGAAGCCCCGGCUAACUACGU